UACGGAGGGUGCAAGCGUUAUCCGGAUUUACUGGGUUUAAAGGGUGCGUAGGUGGGCAGGUAAGUCAGUGGUGAAAUCCCCGGGCUUAACCCGGGAACUGCCAUUGAUACUAUCUGUCUUGAAUAUCCUGGAGGUGAGCGGAAUAUGUCAUGUAGCGGUGAAAUGCUUAGAUAUGACAUAGAACACCCAUUGCGAAGGCAGCUCACUACGGGAUCAUUGACACUGAGGCACGAAAGCGUGGGGAGUCAAACAGGA
rnacentral:rRNA from 1 species